rnacentral:tRNA from 2 species
GGGUACGUAACUCAGUGGUAGAGUGCUAUCCUCACACGGUAGAAGUCGCUGGUUCAAGCCCAGCCGUACCCA